rnacentral:rRNA from 1 species
UAGGGAAUCUUCGGCAAUGGACGAAAGUCUGACCGAGCAACGCCGCGUGAGUGAAGAAGGUUUUCGGAUCGUAAAACUCUGUUGUUAGAGAAGAACAAGGGUGAGAGUAACUGUUCACCCCUUGACGGUAUCUAACCAGAAAGCCACGGCUAACUCCGUGCCAA